CUAUGGAAACUCUUUCAUCUUCUUCCCCUUUCUUUCUCCCUUGUCUGAUCUUUUCUUUCUUGCAAGCUGAGCUCCCAGCUCACUUCUUCCCAUCAAAUCUCCUCCAAACACUUUGGAUCCAUCCCUGCAUGUCACACCACUAAACCCCCAUCACUCUAAGCUCCUCAUCCAUCCGAAAAUCUCCCACAUGCAUGGAUUCGUGAGAGAGAUCGAGAAGAAGGAAGAACAAGCAACUUGCAGCCUAUGAGGUUACAGCAGCAGGGAGAACUUAUUUCCAUUGAUUUAUGAGUUUCCCUCUCCAUCCAUGGCUCCCCUAUGAGGUUCUCCAUUGUGUUGGUCAUCUCUAGUGCAUUCCAUAGGUCAUCGAUUCAAGAUUUGGAGGCAAGUGGUAGCUGCAACUCGUCCCUCUCCAUUGCAGGACAACCCUGAGAUUCUUCGGUUUACUCUCUUGAAUUGCCAUUUUCAGCACCUGAGAGCUUGUCAUUUUCAUAUCUCCCAAACCAUAAGUGAUAAUCUGAUUCGGAGAUUCCGGAGAGUAACGAGCCAUAUCCCAAGGAGGAUAGUGACUACCCUCAGCAGCAAGG